AUUCCUCUCGACGAAUAUCACGAUGAUCUCGAGCCGUGGAAUUCCUGGCAAAGAGAACCGUUUGCGGCGUUUAAUUAGACCAUUUGAAGGUUCGGCUGCGAAGGUUACCGUUUGUUCCGGCAGGAAACACAAAUACUUUGCGGAUCGAUUCUGGAAGCAAUUUUCAUCGGUCUCUUACUUGUUCUCGAAACGCGAGCAAUCUGAAAUUUUCGAGUGAGCAACGUUUAACCUCCCUCAAUUACUCUACAAUUAUCCAACUGCGUGCAAGUAAAUUGGUCGUACGUAGACGGAACUUUGGAACAAUCAAUUUGAAAUUAU
rnacentral:misc_RNA from 1 species